UACGUAGGGUGCAAGCGUUGUCCGGAAUUAUUGGGCGUAAAGAGUUCGUAGGCGGUCUGUCGCGUCCGUUGUGAAAGCUUGGGGCUCAACCCCAAGUCUGCAGUGGAUACGGGCAGACUAGAGUCAGGUAGGGGAGAACGGAAUUCCUGGUGUAGCGGUGAAAUGCGCAGAUAUCAGGAGGAACACCGAUGGCGAAGGCAGGUCU
rnacentral:rRNA from 1 species